CUUUUUUCUAUGGUUUUAUUUGCAAGUGUUCCAUUAAUUUUACUAGCUACAGUUAGAUUAUAAAGAGUCUAAAAUGUAAAAGGACACUGUCAAGGUUGGGUUAAUAUUUUAGAUUCUGACAGUGUCGCUAUUCCCAGCUCAUUUGAAUCAGUUCAGCUUUUUUUUCUGUGGAUGAACCCAAGCUGUGAUGCUCAAAUACGCAUUUUGAACUCUGAAGAACAAGGUUGCUCUGGGUUGGAGUGGUACUUCAUACCAGCACAUGAGGAGUCAGACAGGUGCUGAUUCAGAAUCCAGCUCCUCUUAACUCUGACGUGCAGGGACUUAUGAUCCAAAGAUUUGGUUCAUAUCUAUCUGUACUUUUGUACAUUUUUGUUAAUAAGUAUCUGUACAGACAGAGGAGACUAUUGGUAAAAAAUUGAUAAAUUGCAAGCACCAGAAGAGUGUUAAAUGUUUUUGUUUUUGUUUUAAGUAUGAAACAAGAACAUCUCAAAAUUGUUUCUUGAAGGAAGCAGUUUUCAAACUCUGAAAAGGUAAUUCCAAGCAGUAGCUAGUAAAGUUCUUUGCUAAGAGAAAAAAAAAGAAAACCUUGGCAAUGUCUUUUUAAAUUAAGAAUGACAACAGAUUAGAUGCAAGUCUGUAGUGAUGAGAAAACAUAAAAAUUGUCAAGAAUCUGAAUAAUAAAUAUUCUUUGCAAUCUGGAGUUACCGUACAUUUUUAAUUAUAUAUAUUUAAGGAUGAUAGCUCUGUUUACAAAGCAAAAAGGAAUCUUUAGAGGGAUGCAAUAACAUUAAUUCAAAUGCUAAAGCAGAUUGAAGUAACAGAAAAUUUCUCUAGCUUUCCCUGUAGAUAAAAUAACCAUGCAUUUGGUUGAAAAGCUUACAAUUUUCUGCAUUGUGGAUACAUUGCCUCAUGCAGUCUCAAUAAAUCUGUAUUUUAUCCUGGACUUACUUAAGUAAGAUUUGAUACAUGACUUGCAGUUUUAUUCUGAAUCCAUUUCUUAGGCUUAAGUAAAAUAUUUCUUGAACACUGCAGAAGACAGAGCAUUUCUCUGAAACUAAAUCCGUUCUUGUGGUACAAGCUCUGAACUUGUUUCUGCAAGCACACUGUAUACUCUCAGUGCAGUCAGCAAAAAGAGGUGUAUACGGUGUUUUCAGUACAAGACAAAGCUACCAGUAACUUCUCUGUAAUUAAACUAAACUAUUUCUAGAUGCGUCUGUAAUCCAUAUGUGUUCGGUGCAUUACUCCUUAUCAGGAAUAUUGGGGAAUGCACUCUGAUCUUUAACGUUCAAUGCUAGAAUGACCAAACUAAAAUAAUAUUCAUAUGGUAAUCUAAACUUCCUGAAAAAAAGUAGAACUGCAUUACCGUAUACAGUGGAAAGCUAUUUAUUGUACCUCUGGGCUUAUUCCUCUAAAAACUGUAGCGUACAAAGUCUUUGUCAAGCCUGAACUGAUGUAUAUAACUGAAAUAAUGUAAAGGUAUAUUUUCAUGUUUUUAUAAUUAACAACAUGAUGAGAAUACAUAAUGUAAGAUUAUUUCAAUUACAGAUAAUGUGAAUUGGGUAAUACACAGCUCGGUUAAAAAGCAGUAAUCAUAGUUUAAUAUCCAUGUUACAGUACAUCAGUAUAUUGCUAUAUAAAGUAUGUCUGUGUGCAUUUAAGUGAAAAGUAGUCAAGAGUGAUGAAAGCUGUCCAAGGGUUUUUUAUUCAUUUUAUAUGAAAAUUGUUAUGGAGCAACUAAAAUGUUUAUGAAACUUGUGUAAAUUUCAAAAUGUCCUUUACUGUAGCUUUUUGUUUACAGUACAGUAUCUUAUUUUCUGCUUUGUUAAAUGAGUAACAGUACAAAGCCAGACAUACACUUUCUAAGACAUUAACGUUCCUGUUUUUUCAUGUAUACCUAUCUGACAGAAAAUGCUUCUGAUUUUAUUUUUCAAUCUGACACAUGAUGGCUUUUCUGGAGUGUUGUAUAAACUUCAAUCAUACAUAAAAAAAAUCUUCUUAAAAAAGGCAAGACUUUUUAUGUCUGUUUAGUAUUUUUGAAAUUUGGUUAAUUAUUUAUUAUAAAUGUAUUUUCUUGAGGUUUUACAUAUAGGAAACCUAUUUUUCUCCACAUACAUGAGUUUUCUUGAUGAGUUUGCAAAGAGAAGAUACAUCUUCCCCCAAAUCAUCUUGUCACUUGUAGGUUCAUAUCACAAAAUUGAGAAAUGUACAUUUCUUACCAGUAAUAUAAUUUUAUUUCUGGAAUGCAACCUUCUCAAUCAUACUUAUAAUGUCAGUGUGAUAGGAUGAUAUGCUAGUAAGUUAAAUAUUUAUUCAAUAACUCUACUUAAAUAUUGUCAGCUAUUCCUUGGAUCAGUAACUUUUUACUUCAGCUGAUUGUUGUCUAAGCUGAGACCCGAGAAAUGGCAAGUAUUUUAGCUAUAUAUUAGUAGUAUUGCUGCCAUAAAUCCAGAUCUAUGGGAAAGAGUUGUCUCUUACAACAAAGAAAUAGAAGACUUGAUAUUCUAGGUGAUACCUGUAGGGGCUACUUAGACCUGUUUCACAAUAUGUUUUCAUUGAUUAUUAAAUCAUUUCAUUUCUGUCCUUUCAUUGGAUUUUAAAAAUUUGCUGAGAGAGACUUAUCAUAACCAAAUUAUUUUGGGAAAUUAUAUCAAGCACUUAGAAUAAAAUUCAGCAUAUGACUUAAGUGUGCACUAAACUUUAAGCAUUUUCUUCAGUAUCAGUUUGUUUUUUAUACCUUAUUAUAAGCUAAAAUGAGAGGAUACUACAUACCCAUACAUGCAGUAAUAGAGAAUUGUAUACAACAAUGGCACUUAUGUGACAGAUUUUAUUCAGUACUGUAGGUUUUUCUGAAAUUUAACUCUCGCUACUCUUAAUCCUCUAAACUUUGGACUGUGUAAAAUUCCAUGGUAAAACUACCCUACUUUUUUCUUUCUUUCUGCCUUGAAUGUUAUUUUUCCUCCCGCCCUGAAGGCAUAGAAUUAUAAAUAUGUCUACACCUAAUACCUGAGGAUCUACAGGACCUUGCAGUGAUGACAAAGAUUCUCAAUUCCUGCCAACAUUUAGUUAGUUUGAAGUCAUGAACUAUGAAGUAAAAGUAUUUGUAGCACAUCUUUUUUAAAAUUUCCCUAAUGUAGUGAAUAUCACUUUCAUAAUCACAACUUCAGAUUUAGUUGUUCAGUGUUUUAACAUACAAUUUAUUGAAUUCUUAUCUUUGAAAAAAAAAAAAGAAAAACAUUUUUAAAGUCGGAUUUUUCUAAACAAGGGACAAGAAAUAGAACAUAAUAAGAUAAAAUAUAAAAUUCUGAGAAUUCUCCCUUACCUGUGGCUCUUAUGUGUCAUGAGGUCUUCUCACAAUCCCUAACCAUUUUGUUAGGAUGUUCCAUGAUGUGCUUGCUUUCUUUCUCUCUUGUAUCACCACAUGCAGUUAGUUCUAAUGCAUUCUUUUUGUUGUUGAUUUUGUUUGUUUGUUUGUUUUUUAAUCUUGGUAGGUGGAUAAUACAUAAUAUUGACUAUACUUUUUUCAAUUGAUUUGUCAGUCAUUCAGAAGUUCUUUUAUAGCUGAUUGCAUGUGUCUCUAGUAAAGAAGCAGUGAUGAUAAAUGUGGGAAAGAUUUAUUGUAUCAUCUAGGUUAAACCCGUAAUUGAAGAGAUAUCAUCCACUGCACCAUUCUUGUAUCAGUCUCCUUUGUACAUCCCUUAUUGGUAAUGAAUAUGAAAAUUUGGCCACCUCUGUAGACAUUUCAGUGGUUUAUUUACCUGAAUGGUAAGAAAAUACUUUGUACCUGCAACACAAACGUGAUCCCCGUUAAUUCGACAAAGCUGUCCAGUGAACGGCUUUCUAACGUUUGCCCAAAGUUCCUCCUCACAGUGCACUUAUAACUCUCACCCAAAAGGAAAGGAUUAUUGCUGCAUGCUGUCAGCAUUGGGGGGGGGGGGGGGGGGGAAAAAAAGUUUCUACUUGGUUUGUCAUUACUUUUAACAAAUGCUGACUUUCAAAGACUCCCUUCUGUGUCAGUUAUUCCUACUAGGAUUCCUAUUAUAACUGUGAUUGAAAUACAUAUUUGUAUUUAAAUUAAAAUAGGAUUUACUUGCUUUAAAAUUUCCAAACCUAAUCUUGAAAACACACAUGGUUAUAUGUAUAAAAUAGUAAAGGGCUGCUAAACUUCAGUGCCUAUACCAACCACUUAAAAUUGUGUUUAAUCAUUGCCCAUCUGGAGGUGGGGAAAAUGCUACAAAGAAAUGGGUUCCAUAUGAACCCUGUGUGCCUUGGACAGUGCGGGACCUCAUGCCUUCUCAUGCACAGGUGGGAAGCAGGCUGGCAAAGCUGAGACAGAAGUCAAGUUUCAUGCCAUUUCUUCUGUCCGUCCUCCAUUCUAAAAGGCAAAGAAACAUCCAGAUGUGACAGGAAAGGAUUUAGUCCUGUUUUCAAAAGGUAGAAAAUAUGCUCACAAUUAGUUCUUUUUCUUGUAAAAAAACACUGUUAGUGAGGUUUUGAAAUGAAAUUCUGUUUUGAUUUACUAUAAACAAUUUUUAAAACUGAAAAAUAAAACCUGUUUCCAGGGUCUCAUUUACUGUCAGCAGUGCAUACGUGACAUAGCUUCUUAGGAGGGUGCUUCUUGUACAUCCUCUACAGGAGCAUCAUAAGUAUUUUGUUAAAAAUAUAUUUGGAAGUUUUACAUAGCAACUUUUUUACCCAAUUUUCAAGUUGUGUUCUUACUGCCUGUCCUUCAGCACUGUGUUCUCUGAGAUGAGAGAAAAUCUCAAUUAAAGAGUUCAACUUACAGCUUUUACGUAAUACUAUGCUUUACCAAUACUUUUUUCAGUAGUUGAUUUCUGUAUUUAAAUCACAAGCACAUGUUCGGUUACCUCAUAUUCCUAAAGAGUAAAAAUUAUUUAUGUGAAUAUUCUAUGUUUUUGAAGGAGUAGAUAUUUUUUAUGCCAUUGUAUUGACCGAAGAUGCAAUGAUACAGAGUACCUUAAUGAUUUUUACUCAGGUGCUUACUUCUACAUAUUGUUGUUAUUUUCAAUAAUUUCACAACAUUAUUAGAAGAAUAUUUCAGAAUAUAUCAGUGGCAGCUGAUAGAAUUUACCUGUAGUGGGAACUAACCAUUCCAUUUAAUGUGUUAACAAGUGGAAUUGCUGCUACAUGACAAAGAAGAUGUAUACUUAAAAAGAGAUAAAUAUAGCAAUAAUUCAUAGUAGGGCCAGUAGCAAGACGAAGGUUUAUAAUCAAGUGCCUUACUGCCUUUAGCAUGAAGAAAUUUGGAAUUUUGUAUUUCUGUUAGACAGUAGGUUAGUCCCAUGAGGGCUCCAUCAACAACAAAUUCUGUAACUUCAAAAAGAUUUUUGCUUUAACUUAGAGGAUUAGGUUCUACAACAUUUCUGUGAGAAAAAUGAGUGUGUCCCUUGCUAAUUUAGGGCUACGCAAAGAUGCACAUUGCCUCUUAACUUCAUGAGCAGGGAUGAUGGAUUUAUGUUUGUAUAUAUAUAUGUGUACGUGCAUAUUUUUUUCUAUUUAAAGUGUCUUUCCUAUUUAAAAAUGCAUGAUUAGAGAGGCUCAGGUUUAGGUAAAUCUAAUGAACAAGAACAUAUAAAACUUACCUCUUUGAAAGCUAUUACUAGAUUUUUCUGAACAAAAGUCUCUAAAGGAAGUUGAUGCCUUCAGAAAAUAGAAUACUGGACAUGGGUGUUACACUACCUACUUUGAGCACUGUGCAAUAAUAUACACUGCUGUGGUGCUGUGGCAGAAUUCUGUCCACGUUUUGUAAUAUUUUAUACUGACAAAGACAAAGUAGUAUAAACUGUAGGAAAUCACUGUCACAAAGCAAGCUUGGCAGCCAAUUUUCAGAAAAUUUCUACUUAGUAGUUGCAUCUGUGACAUUGUCAUGUUCUUGAAGUCUGCACCAUCUGAAGGUAAAAAUAAAAAAUGAGAUUACCUUUUUAUUAAGCCAUUAUCUUUAUUAGAGAGCAGAACUUUACUCAACAUGACUAUGCUUAUCUAAAGUACUUGUUUUCCACAGGAACAGUUGUCAUUCUUUCUCAUUCUGUAUUCUUUUUCAUUCUAGAGACACUAACAGUGUGCUAUUUAUAUAGUUUGCUAGUGUAGUAGAUCCACAGUUAGAUGUGAGAGGGGCUUAUGAGUUUUGCUUAGUCCACCUUGUAAGCUACUUUCUAAAGGAGUUCUUCAUAGUUUUCUACCUGUAAUUUACUUUUUGACCUUUUAUCACUUACAGAGAUUUUUAGUACAUCAAGGAACAUUGAGUAUCCUUCUGUAGGCUGCUUGCUGAUUUGAGAUUUUGCCCAAGUCCCUCAGUUGAUGAGCUGGUGAAAAAGCUGCAUCUUGCUAUGUGGAAUAGACUAAACAAGACUGGAUAAGAGAAUGUAAGACAAACACAGAAGUGACUCUAAGAUGGGGUUUUGAAGCUGUGAUUUGAAAAGAUGAUAUUUAUUAAGAAACCCAAUAGAACCUAUGUUCUCAUUUGAGUUAGAAAGUUAGAAGAUGAACAGUACGCUUCUGUGGUUGACCUGAAACUUAGUGUAUUAUAAUAAGUAUAGACAUUGAAUAUGGCCUUUUACAUUUAACACUUAUACCCAUCUGCCUUCCAUGUAUCAGCUAUUUUAGGCUUUGUGAAAUUGCUGUAAGCCAGAUUACUGAUAACCUAAUAUAUGUAUAGUGAUGUACUGAUAACCUAAGUUCAGUUACAUUCUGGCUGCCUGCAUUAAAUCAUCUUCAAAUCUGGGAGUAAAACAGACCAUUUUCUUUCCAAAUGAGGAGUAAGUUUGUUUUCAGCUGGCUUUCUUGUGUUUUAAAGCCAACAUUUCAGCAAAUAAUUAGAGUAAUUAUUUUCUUUACUUUUAUUGCUGGUGGUACUCUUUGGAUCUUUAAAAGCUUUUCAAUGAAGUUGGUUGAUGGUGUUUACCAUGGAGAUAUGUGGAUUAUCAGUCAAGUCAGAUUUUUGUUUUGUAUUUUUUUAAGACUCUGCAAAUACAGAAUGCUUCAAGCUGUAGCAGAGAAAAAAGAUACAAGGAAAUGUUCCAAGAGAACUUGGGUGAGAUUUUGUUUGUAUGGCUUACAUUUAAACAAGCUUUAUCUUUUUACCUGUAUAUUUUUGCUACAGUUUUUCUGUGUGUGUGUGUGUGUGUGUGUGUGUGUGUUUGCUUGCUUGCUUGCUUGUUUAAGAAAAAGCAAAUUGGUCUUUUUUCUGUAAUUAUUCUCAAGCAUGCUCUGAUCUCAGUGGCUGGUGUGAGUGAAGCUACCUGGAUACCUUGGACAACGUGCCCACAUUGGAGUAGAUAGAUGGUAGAAUUCCCCAAUAUGUAAGAAUAGAUGUUUUCUGUCUAAUUUCAUUUUUAUGUUAAUAGGACUGUUCCAUAUUUUGUUGAGUGUUUUUUUUUUUAUGUAAUUAUUUUUCGGGACACAGCUGCAGACAUGGAGGCCAGUGGAGAAAAUAAAGUAAACGUGUUAUUUCCCUAAAGAAUAGUGCAGAAUAUCACAAAACACUCCUGAAGAAUCUCUGCAGAGAGGUAUUUGAAAAAAAAAAAAUCUUU